rnacentral:rRNA from 1 species
AUGCAGUCGAACGCUUCUUUUUCCACCGGAGCUUGCUCCACCGGAAAAAGAGGAGUGGCGAACGGGUGAGUAACACGUGGGUAACCUGCCCAUCAGAAGGGAUAACACUUGGAAACAGGUGCUAAUACCGUAUAACAAUCGAAACCGCAUGGUUUUGAUUUGAAAGGCGCUUUCGGGUGUCGCUGAUGGAUGGACCCGCGGUGCAUUAGCUAGUUGGUGAGGUAACGGCUCACCAAGGCCACGAUGCAUAGCCGACCUGAGAGGGUGAUCGGCCACAUUGGGACUGAGACACGGCCCAAACUCCUACGGGAGGCAGCAGUAGGGAAUCUUCGGCAAUGGACGAAAGUCUGACCGAGCAACGCCGCGUGAGUGAAGAAGGUUUUCGGAUCGUAAAACUCUGUUGUUAGAGAAGAACAAGGAUGAGAGUAACUGUUCAUCCCUUGACGGUAUCUAACCAGAAAGCCACGGCUAACUACGUGCCAGCAGCCGCGGUAAUACGUAGGUGGCAAGCGUUGUCCGGAUUUAUUGGGCGUAAAGCGAGCGCAGGCGGUUUCUUAAGUCUGAUGUGAAAGCCCCCGGCUCAACCGGGGAGGGUCAUUGGAAACUGGGAGACUUGAGUGCAGAAGAGGAGAGUGGAAUUCCAUGUGUAGCGGUGAAAUGCGUAGAUAUAUGGAGGAACACCAGUGGCGAAAGCGGCUCUCUGGUCUGUAACUGACGCUGAGGCUCGAAAGCGUGGGGAGCAAACAGGAUUUAGA